UACAGAGGGGGCAAGCGUUGUUCGGAAUUACUGGGCGUAAAGGGCGCGUAGGCGGCCUUCUAAGUCGAACGUGAAAUCCCCGGGCUCAACCCGGGAACUGCGUCCGAUACUGGAAGGCUUGAAUCCGGGAGAGGGAUGCAGAAUUCCAGGUGUAGCGGUGAAAUGCGUAGAUAUCUGGAGGAACACCGGUGGCGAAGGCGGGUCUCUGGGCCGAUACUGACGCUGAGGAGCGAAAGCGUGGGGAGCGAACAGG
rnacentral:rRNA from 1 species